rnacentral:rRNA from 1 species
CACUGUUUCGGCAAGGGGGUCAUCCCGACUUACCAACCCGAUGCAAACUGCGAAUACCGGAGAAUGUUAUCACGGGAGACACACGGCGGGUGCUAACGUCCGUCGUGAAGAGGGAAACAACCCAGACCGCCAGCUAAGGUCCCAAAGUCAUGGUUAAGUGGGAAACGAUGUGGGAAGGCCCAGACAGCCAGGAUGUUGGCUUAGAAGCAGCCAUCAUUUAAAGAAAGCGUAAUAGCUCACUGGUCGAGUCGGCCUGCGCGGAAGAUGUAACGGGGCUAAACCAUGCACCGAAGCUGCGGCAGCGACGCUGAUGCGUUGUUGGGUAGGGGAGCGUUCUGUAAGCCUGUGAAGGUGUGCUGUGAGGCAUGCUGGAGGUAUCAGAAGUGCGAAUGCUGACAUAAGUAACGAUAAAGCGGGUGAAAAGCCCGCUCGCCGGAAGACCAAGGGUUCCUGUCCAACGUUAAUCGGGGCAGGGUGAGUCGACCCCUAAGGCGAGGCCGAAAGGCGUAGUCGAUGGGAAACAGGUUAAUAUUCCUGUACUUGGUGUUACUGCGAAGGGGGGACGGAGAAGGCUAUGUUGGCCGGGCGACGGUUGUCCCGGUUUAAGCGUGUAGGCUGGUUUUCCAGGCAAAUCCGGAAAACUAAGGCUGAGGCGUGAUGACGAGGCACUACGGUGCUGAAGCAACAAAUGCCCUGCUUCCAGGAAAAGCCUCUAAGCAUCAGGUAACAUCAAAUCGUACCCCAAACCGACACAGGUGGUCAGGUAGAGAAUACCAAGGCGCUUGAGAGAACUCGGGUGAAGGAACUAGGCAAAAUGGUGCCGUAACUUCGGGAGAAGGCACGCUGAUAUGUAGGUGAAGUCCCUCGCGGAUGGAGCUGAAAUCAGUCGAAGAUACCAGCUGGCUGCAACUGUUUAUUAAAAACACAGCACUGUGCAAACACGAAAGUGGACGUAUACGGUGUGACGCCUGCCCGGUGCCGGAAGGUUAAUUGAUGGGGUCAGCGCAAGCGAAGCUCUUGAUCGAAGCCCCGGUAAACGGCGGCCGUAACUAUAACGGUCCUAAGGUAGCGAAAUUCCUUGUCGGGUAAGUUCCGACCUGCACGAAUGGCGUAAUGAUGGCCAGGCUGUCUCCACCCGAGACUCAGUGAAAUUGAACUCGCUGUGAAGAUGCAGUGUACCCGCGGCAAGACGGAAAGACCCCGUGAACCUUUACUAUAGCUUGACACUGAACAUUGAGCCUUGAUGUGUAGGAUAGGUGGGAGGCUUUGAAGUGUGGACGCCAGUCUGCAUGGAGCCGACCUUGAAAUACCACCCUUUAAUGUUUGAUGUUCUAACGUUGACCCGUAAUCCGGGUUGCGGACAGUGUCUGGUGGGUAGUUUGACUGGGGCGGUCUCCUCCUAAAGAGUAACGGAGGAGCACGAAGGUUGGCUAAUCCUGGUCGGACAUCAGGAGGUUAGUGCAAUGGCAUAAGCCAGCUUGACUGCGAGCGUGACGGCGCGAGCAGGUGCGAAAGCAGGUCAUAGUGAUCCGGUGGUUCUGAAUGGAAGGGCCAUCGCUCAACGGAUAAAAGGUACUCCGGGGAUAACAGGCUGAUACCGCCCAAGAGUUCAUAUCGACGGCGGUGUUUGGCACCUCGAUGUCGGCUCAUCACAUCCUGGGGCUGAAGUAGGUCCCAAGGGUAUGGCUGUUCGCCAUUUAAAGUGGUACGCGAGCUGGGUUUAGAACGUCGUGAGACAGUUCGGUCCCUAUCUGCCGUGGGCGCUGGAGAACUGAGGGGGGCUGCUCCUAGUACGAGAGGACCGGAGUGGACGCAUCACUGGUGUUCGGGUUGUCAUGCCAAUGGCACUGCCCGGUAGCUAAAUGCGGAAGAGAUAAGUGCUGAAAGCAUCUAAGCACGAAACUUGCCCCGAGAUGAGUUCUCCCUGACUCCUUGAGAGUCCUGAAGGAACGUUGAAG